UACGAAGGGGGCUAGCGUUGCUCGGAAUUACUGGGCGUAAAGGGCGCGUAGGCGGCUUCGUCAGUCAGGCGUGAAAUCCCUGGGCUCAACCUGGGGGCUGCGCUUGAUACGGCGGGGCUAGAGGACGGAAGAGGCUCGCGGAAUUCCCAGUGUAGAGGUGAAAUUCGUAGAUAUUGGGAAGAACACCGGUGGCGAAGGCGGCGAGCUGGUCCGUUACUGACGCUGAGGCGCGACAGCGUGGGGAGCAAACAGGAUUAGAAACCCCCGUAGUCC
rnacentral:rRNA from 1 species